rnacentral:rRNA from 1 species
CAGCGAAGGUGCUCGCACCUUUCAAGUGAGUUGGCGAACGGGUGAGUAACACGUGGACAACCUGCCUCAAGGCUGGGGAUAACAUUUGGAAACAGAUGCUAAUACCGAAUAAAACUUAGUGUCGCAUGACAAAAAGUUAAAAGGCGCUUCGGCGUCACCUAGAGAUGGAUCCGCGGUGCAUUAGUUAGUUGGUGGGGUAAAGGCCUACCAAGACAAUGAUGCAUAGCCGAGUUGAGAGACUGAUCGGCCACAUUGGGACUGAGACACGGCCCAAACUCCUACGGGAGGCUGCAGUAGGGAAUCUUCCACAAUGGGCGAAAGCCUGAUGGAGCAACGCCGCGUGUGUGAUGAAGGCUUUCGGGUCGUAAAGCACUGUUGUAUGGGAAGAACAGCUAGAAUAGGAAAUGAUUUUAGUUUGACGGUACCAUACCAGAAAGGGACGGCUAAAUACGUGCCAGCAGCCGCGGUAAUACGUAUGUCCCGAGCGUUAUCCGGAUUUAUUGGGCGUAAAGCGAGCGCAGACGGUUUAUUAAGUCUGAUGUGAAAGCCCGGAGCUCAACUCCGGAAUGGCAUUGGAAACUGGUUAACUUGAGUGCAGUAGAGGUAAGUGGAACUCCAUGUGUAGCGGUGGAAUGCGUAGAUAUAUGGAAGAACACCAGUGGCGAAAGCGGCUUACUGGACUGCAACUGACGUUGAGGCUCGAAAGUGUGGGUAGCAAACAGGAUUAGAUACCCUGGUAGUCCACACCGUAACGAUGAACACUAGUGUUAGGAG